GAAACUCACCCGUAGCAACAGGCAGCCUAUCAUUAUGAAGCAGGAAUAUAAAAAUACACUUGAUUGUAGCGUGUCUUUCUGUGAUGUAUGUUAUACAAUGGCUUGAUUACAUAUACAGCUCCUUUUAUGUUCAAAUAUAUGUGUAGCUCAGUGUAAUUUACCCAUCAUUUGAAAUGUAUAGUGAGUGCCGUUUGUGGUACAGUUAAAAAAAAGCUUUUUGAAGAAAUGAUUUCAAUUGAGACAAUAUUUUUACCUUUUUUAGUGUGAUUUACAUAUCUUUUGUAAUAGAUCAGGGGUCUGCUUAUUAUUUUCUCUGUAGAAGUGGCAGCUGUAAAAUUUCAGAUGUAAAAGCCGGUGAAACCUGGCUGCAGAUAACAGUCAAUACACAAACGGCUUUUGAAAAUAUACCCCCAAGCAUAAAAUCAUUAGGGGAAGACGCUAGCUCGUGGUACGUUACUUCACUGGGAUACUGACACAGACCUACCUUUUUAUCUGUAACAUAUCUAAUCAUCCUCAAAAUAAUUACAUAGUUACAUAGGCUGAAAAAAGGACACGCGUCCAUCAAGUUCAGCCUUUCCCGCAUCUGUUAAUUUCCAUUGAUCCAAAAGAA